CAGUGGUUAGCACUGUCGCUGGUUCAAGUCCUGGCUGGAUUGCUCAGGACGGGUAUUUUAUACCCACACAACAAAGAAACUUUUGAGGUUUGGGGAGAUGCAUCACUGCGGAUUCUUUCGUAUUGCAAGAAAGAGAAGAGAGCCUUGGAUCUACCAGUUCAAGCAAACAUUUCAUCUGACAGCCUUGGAGAUCCCGCUUUGGAGAUGGUGCUUUAACAACUCUGCCAGCUAUCCUUUCUCCACUGCCAUACAGAUUGUGCAGCAAGAUGGUUCGGCACGUCAUACCAGGAGGCAAAAUAAGAAUUUGUUUAUUUGCGACUUCUAGGUGCAUUAUUUAUGACAAUAAAUGUUGGACAUUAUUUAAUUCAUGUGUGUAUACUUGUAUUUCGUUCAGUACUUAGAAGAGGAGGAGCAACAGAGACAGAACCCUUUUGUCCUGCUGCUUAG